GUUUUUCUAGUAUAAAUAGUACAUUUAACUUCCAAUUAAAAAGAUUAAUUAAAUUAAGAAAAACA
rnacentral:tRNA from 1 species